CUGAGGAAGUUUUGGUGGGGAGCAAAGGAAGGGAAGAGGAAGACCGCUUGGGUCUCGUGGAGAAACAGGUGUCGGCCGAAAUAUUUAGGAGGCAUGGGUUUCAGGAAGACGGGAUUGUUCAAUCUGGCGCUACUAGCUAAAAGGGCUAGAAUUAUUCAAGAACCGAAUUCACUUAGUUCUCAAAUACUAAAGGCGGUUUAUUUCCUGAAUAGUGAGUUCUUGCAAGCCAAGCUAGGAAAUAGACCAUCGCAGAUUUGGAGGUCCAUACUUGAAGGAAGAGAGGUCCUUAAACAGGGGAUGAUAAGAAGAAUAGGCAAUGAGGAAUCAACAAGUAUCUGGAAUGAAAAUUGGCUUCUAAGAGAUAUGAUGAGACUAUUAGCACCUUUGCAAGGAAAUCACCCGGAUCUAGUAAGCGAACUGAUAGAUAAACCGAACAGAUGUUGGAAUGUGACCACUUUGGAUGACCACCUACUGUUGAUUGAGGGAAAUAAACAAGUUAUGAGAGCUGGGAGCGUACUCAUCAACCGUGCAGCAGAGUUCGUUUUCAAUCUAUUCAUCUUCAAUCAUUUUGAUUAUUUUCAAACAUAA
rnacentral:rRNA from 1 species